rnacentral:lncRNA from 1 species
GGAACAACAGUGAUGAAGUUUAAAAGAAAACAUAGUGACCGGCGAUGAUGAUGUGAUAUUCUCCGAUGACACCAUGGCAAGCAGAGAAAUAAUAUCCAAUAUACAACACUACACACAAGACCGUUAACGCGAAGAAGUGUUUACCUGAUGAUGUGCAGAGUUGCUCUUGAGGAAGCAAGUUUCUUCGAGCUGUGAUUGAAGAUUGGAGAGCUGAAGACCAAAAUCCACUGCCCUUAGGGAUGAAUGGUUGAAGAUGAUCCUGCUAUCUCCCUCCUCUCCCUUGUGCUGAAACUGUUAAUCUUUUUCACAACCUCUGCUCGCUCUCCUUUUCGUCCCCCC